AAAUUGAAGAGUUUGAUCAUGGCUCAGAUUGAACGCUGGCGGCAGGCCUAACACAUGCAAGUCGAACGGUAACAGGAAGCAGCUUGCUGCUUUGCUGACGAGUGGCGGACGGGUGAGUAAUGUCUGGGAAACUGCCCGAUGGAGGGGGAUAACUACUGGAAACGGUAGCUAAUACCGCAUAACGUCGCAAGACCAAAGAGGGGGACCUUAGGGCCUCUUGCCAUCGGAUG
rnacentral:rRNA from 1 species